AAAUUGUUUAAUGAUAUAGACGUCGAUCAUAUUAAAAUGCUGUUAACAAGACAUUUUGAAAGGUUGUGCUGAGGAUUAGACUAUUCAUUUACAGGUAGAAUAUAUUUUUAUCUAAACUUUACCUGUCAAAAUAAAAAAAAAUACUGAUGCUUUUACAAUUUAAAUCAAAUCAUAAUGACAAAGUAGUUGUAUCUUCAUCGGUUUCUUACAUAACACAUUACAUAACUGUGUUUAAUUUGUUAAAACCUUUAAAAGUAUGCACGCUUAAACUCAAAAUAAAUUUUCUAUAGCAGAUACAACAAUUGUAUCAUCCGAUUGGAAUGUUGUUACCUAAAUAGAAAACCAAAAAAACCGAAAUUUAUGUAUAUCGGUUAUUUAUUAAUAAUAUUCUGUCUUUAAACGCGGUUAGUAAUUUAAAAUUGAUCAUAUUUUAUUCUGUCUAAGCGCAUUUUUCUAGUCAUUAAACAGUUCGGAGUAAUUUUGACAAAUACAACAGGUAUAAAGAAGAAAAAUGAAACAAGCAUCUAAGUUUAUAAAAACUACAUUAAGAGUUUAUUCAAUAAAACUUGAUAAAAUGAUUUAACCGAUUCAAAUAUUUUUUACAAGUAAGGUUCUUUAAUAAAACAAGGCAAAAGUUUUAUAAGGUUAAUUAAUGACUCGAAAAUUUUGACAAUACAAUAUUAUCACUGAAAAAGUUUUUGACGCAUAUGGAGAUUCUUUUAAAGAGGCAUUAAAAACAAUGCAAUAUAUUAAAUAUGAAUCGUUAUAUACAAUGGGAAUAUAUUCUCUUGAUGGUUGAUAUACAUAUAAUCCUUUAUUUCAAAAUAAAUAAAUACGAAACAAUUAAAGUAAAGUACAAAUAUCUGAUUGUUUAGAAAAAUGCUAUGUUAAUUGGAGUGGUUUAAUGACUUAAAUAGCAUAACGAAUCCACUCUCGUCAGUGUUAUGGGCUUUUAAAACAACUUGAGAAAAACAUUGCAUAAAUUCAUAUGUAAAUACAUUGUUUGUAUGUUUAGGAAGCUGAAAUUCACAAUUUUUUCAUUGUCCAAUAUAUGCAGUGUACAUGAGGCAUUUGCUGUCAUGUCACCCUUUAUCAGUGUUAUGAUUUAACUUUAUUUCAAUUGAUUGGCAGUAAAGACAUUAAAUAACAUAUUAUCAAUUUGAAAUCGAAAUACCAACUAAAGACAUGUUCUUAAUUUCAUGUUUUUGCAUUAAUUGUAAAAAAAAUUCAAUUUUAAUUCUAUCGUUACUGACUGAUUAUUGUUUACAGGACACGUGCGUUUGUCCUACACAAUUGUAGGCUUGGUAUCUAUGAUGAGUUUAUUGUAUAUACAUUUGAGUAAUUAGGUUCUAAUCUAUAUUUUUUCUGUAUCGUUUUUUUUCUAGGUACAAUAUUACACUUUGUAACUUUUGUUUAUUCAUGCAAUAUAUGCAUCAUUCCAUUACUUCACUCCUGUGCAUAGGUAGAUAAAAUGAUUUUUCUUUUUUCUACAUGUGAAAUAAAAUAUGUGUGCUAGCAUGAAAGAAAUUAUAUUCUGAUCAAUAAAAAUUCGCAACCCCUUACAAAUAAAAAUAGUUCUUUAUUUUUUAAUAAAGUGGUUUAAGUCAUAUUUUUUUUUUAUCUAAAUACUCUGGAAAUUGCUAACUUUUAUUAAAAUGAUUUACAAUAAUUAUCAAUUCAAAUGCUUGAUUAAAAAAGCUACAUUUUAUAGUAGCAAAUUGUAAAUACCAAUUGUUACAAGGCCAGUGGAAGUUUUCUAAAAUAAAGAACAACCUUCCUUAUUUAAGAUUGAAAAUUUUCAGAGCUGAAGCCGUUUUUAAAUAGAUUAUUGCUAUCUGGCAAAAUUAGUAAAAUAAUAAUAAUGGAAAACUAAAUCAUGUUUCUUUCUUAAUAAUGGUCGAUUAACUGUUUUCAAUUUCAUGAUGUCUUAAUUUUCAAUUGUUUUAGGAAAUUGCUGUUGGCCAUAUCCUUCUUACUUAAACAUACAAACAAAAUCAUUAUAUAUUUAUGAGAGAAAACGAAAAUUUAACAUAAUUAUUAUCAAUAUAAGAUAUUUAUACAGUAAGAAUUAAAUUAAUGGGAAAUCUCUUGGAAAUGGUUUUAGAAACGAUAUAUAAUUGAUAUUUAUCUGUAUUUACAGAAAAAUAUUCAUUAUUUUCAUAUUUUUGCAACAUUUUAUUUUAAGUAAUCCUCGUUGUUUCGACUGGUUGUAAACAGUUUUACAUUGAUAUGGUGUCUCUUGAUUGAUUUACGAGAAGUGAUCAUCGGUUAACUAAUGACAGCUAUAUUUAUGAACAGCAGUCUUCUUUGUUCUGAAUUAAUCGCAAACUGUAUUGUUUUUUAUAGGCAGAAUCUUACAUAAUUUGCCUUGUUUGUUUUGACCACUAGCAAAUAAUUUUUCGAGUUAUGUGGAGUUUUGGAAAGAGGGACGAAAGGGACAGUCAAACUCAUUAAUAAAAAUAAACUGACAAUGCCAUGGCUAAAUAGAAAAAAAGACAAACUGACAAAUAAUAGUACACAAGACACAACAUAGAACACUAAAGACUUAGCAUAAGAAUAUACGUCCCUUUUUUUUCUGAAUGCUGUAAACUAUAUUUCAAAAAGACGGACAAAAGCCUCCAGAGGGACAGUCAAACUCACAGAUUGAAAAUAAACUAACAACGCCAUGGCUAAAAACAAAAGACAAAAAUACAAACAAUAGCGAAGACAACAUAAAAUAGAGCUGCAACAGUGUAGAUUCAGUGGCCUUCUCUGUUUUGACUAAUUGUAAAGUCCUGGCAAGUUAUCUCCAGACUUUUAUAUAGAAUUGUUAGUCUUUGUAUGUGGUAUCCAUUGUGUUGAUUCUAUCAAGAACUUGGAAAGUUAUAUCCCUGGUGGAUAUAUGUAACACGACAUUACACAAAUAGAAUACUGAUAUCUUUGGAAUAUAGUUUUCGUAUUGACAAUAGUUCCACGUCUUCUUAGUUCAUUAUCUAUUAUACUCCUUAUCAAUAUGAUGUUUUAAUGAUAUUUUUAAUUAACGGAAAAAGGACUUUUUUUAGUUUCCAGAUAUUUUUCUCUCUAAACUUAGCAGCAGACGUAAUAAGAAAUGUUCAAACACACAUGAAUUCGACACUUUUAAAUUUAACUAAUAAGAAUAAUAAUAAUAACAAUAAAGUAAUAAUAAUCAUAAUAAAAUUAAUAAAAAAAAUCCACACAUACAAAAAUAAAAAACAACUACAUCUAUUUUUUUUUAUUGGUUUAGUAUUUAAGUAUUGGUUAUUAAGUAUUGGUAAUUUUGUAUUUGAUAAUAAAUGGUAUUUUACUAUCUUUUUGCUUCAGAUAUCAUCAUUUUCAUUGAUUCAUAUUUUAGUUUUUUUUUGUCAUUUUUUCCAAUAGAAUAGUAGGGAAUUUAAAAACUUUAAAAAAAAAUACACUGUUGUCACUGGACUACUAGUAUUACAUUUGAAAUUACUAAAAAACAUACUUAAAAUAUUAAUUAAAAUGUUGUCUCAAAAUAAGUGCAGAAAUAGUAACGAACAAUUUCUUACAGAAUUCAUUCUUUCCAAAGAGAACCAAAUCAACAUAAUGAUAAAAUUACUUUAAAGCACAAGAUAAGCGAAAGAUAACAAAAGAGACAUACAUAUCGAAUUGCAAACGCGAUAAAAUUAAUAAGAGAGGUAUGCAACAAACUGAAAAAAAUCUAAAAUAGGGUAUAGUUGAAACAAUCACUUGUCCACAUUUUGAACACUAUAUUAUUAUCAUAGUUAGCUAUUUUAUAUUUAAUGAUAUUUUGGUCAUUGAUAAGGGUCAGUAAUUUAAGAAGUUUCUUAGAAAUAAUACUUGUUAGACGAUAAGUUGUAGGCGUAACAUCCAUCGAGACACACUACUUGUUAAAUUUGGGAAACCCGUCUAUGAAUAAGUCAAUAGAUAUCCAGUACAAGGUUAAUUUACCAUAUACUGUCUAUUUUAACACUGGAAAAUCCCAAUUUAUUUUUGUCUUGCUUACAUAGCAAAUUUAAAGUGCUUGCGUUGCAAUUUAUUCAAGCGAUCAUUGUUUCUUUUAAAUAACAAUCAAGUGUUGAAACCUUUAAAAAAGAGGGACGAAAGAUAUCAGAGGGACAGUCAAACUCAUAAAUCGAAAAUAAACUGACAACGGUUUAAAAAUAGCAUAAAAGCUUUGUCAAAAUAAACACAGAAAGAAUAGAGUGAAUAAAUACCUCUGGCAUGUCUGGUAUAUCUACGAACAAAAUAUUCUAUGUGAACUUAAUGUAGAUAUUACACAGAUUCAAUAAGUACCCGUUAAAACAAAAAGUUAAAUAAGAAUUAAUUUUUAAAAAAUUAGUUGAAAAUUUAAUUAACUGUCUUUGUAAAUAAGAAUCAUGCAGGUUUCUGUUGAUGGAUGAUUUAUUACCCCUUUUCAAAUGUCUUUAUAUUUGCAUUACCGGACUGAACAAAGAAAUAACACGACGGGUGCCGUAUACGGUGCAGGAAAUGCUUACCCUACCGGAGCACCUGAUUUCACUCCCGGUUUUCAGUGGAGUUCGUGUUGUUUCUUAAUCAUUAUUUAUUUGUGAGUCUUUGUUUACUCCUUGGUUUUGAUUGUUAUUGUCUUGUUUGUGAAGAAGGUAUGAUAUGAAAAUAAGUUUCAUAUUUAUUUUUUCUUUUGAACAUUUGUUGACAUGGAAACCAUCCUUUAAAAACUUUGCCUAAAUAAGUACGAAAUUAGCCUAUGAGAAUUGAAAAAUAAGGGAUUUUAAAGAACACUUGAAAUAAAGUUAAUUAACAAUAUGUAAAUUUACAUUGCUGACAAACAAAACCCCCAAACUAUUAAAAAAAAGCUAGCAAUUGAAUUUACUUAAUAGUUUGUUUCCAAAGCAAUCAUUAAAAUAUGUGUUAAAAAUUCGAAAAUAUAAAUUUAAAAAGUUACAAAAUUUUAAAUCAAGACCAUGUCAUGUUGUUGACAGAUUUUGAAAGACAAUAUAUUACAUACUCAUGAAAUAAAAAGAAAGUCGUGUGUUAUUUUUUUCCUUUAAAAAAACAGUUCUAGUCAAAAAUUGUCUAUUUUUCACAAAAAUCCAGAAUACCAUACAGAUAAUCUUGAACUUCAUAUGCCAUGAUUUUCCAUGUACAUGUGCAAUUUUGACACGUUAAUAUUAAACGAGAAUAUAUGAUGAAUGAAGAUAUACUUGUAAAAACGAAAACUAACCAAUCUGUGUAUAAAACACUCCCCCUUUAUUUUUUUUUCUUCAAAUUUAUAAAAUUUUGUUGAAAAAAAAUAUGGUAGCUAACUGUCCUCAGUUAUGAACUAAGAGUUUUAAGAUUUUAAGCAUUUCGUUACUUCUAUAAUUGAGGACAGUAGAUGAACCUUCUCAACUCAAUUUUAUAGCAAAACUAUAGCAAUAAGUGCCCAUAAUUUUAAUGUAGAAAAUAGAAUACGUUGCUAUAUUUAUAAAAAUGUAAGGAAAAUGCCUCAAAUUUUACAUAUAGGAAGAGGAAAACAUUUAAUUUCAUUGCAUUGUGAAUCAAAACAGACAUAAGAAACAAAGUGUUUUGGUAAUUUGAAAGAAAACGUUAUUGUGUUCAAAAUUUGUCGUCUGAAGAAAAGCUCCUUUUUACAGUCAAGCCAUUAACACUAGUACAUUCACCCUCAGAUUUUGGUUUGGUUUGUAUUCCUCAAUCUUUCUUUUUGUGUAUCGAUGUUUGUCUUUUUGUAAUUUUUGUGAUUUUACCCAUGGCGUAGUCAGUCUAUUUUUGACUUUUGAGGAAAUUUUGUUCAAAUCAGUUUGACAUAAAUACAUUUUCUUAACAUGAUGACUUUUUUAUAAGCAAUCCGAUUUCAGAUUCUAUAUUUUACGUUUAAGAUUCCAUUAACUUUGGUAUUCGGUCAAGUAGGCCACCGAUAGCCAAUCAAUCAAUUUAACCAGCAAUAUUUCAGUCAUCGUCAGAUACGAUUACAACCAACUCCUGCUGUUGGAGUGUUGUAAAUAUUUUGAGUCGAUGGUUGCGCUGUAAACUUAAAUUUCCAAAAUCUAUUUUCAUUCAAUGAUAAUUUGAUUUGCCUGUCAUGAGAUUUGAACUUCAAACAAGUGGAUUAACAUUCUUGAGAGUAUUUAUGGACUUCAAAUGUAAAGAAUAUCUUAAAUACUUUAAAUUAAGUUUUAUUUUUCCCCUCGCAAGUUGUCAUUAGUUUUCAUAAUAUGGUUUACUUGAGAUUGCAGUGGACUUUGAACGUUCUUAAAACAGCCUUUUUACAUAGGUUAGAACGUUGGUUUUACCGUUUGAAUGGUUUUACAAUAGUAAUUUUUUGAGACCGUACCUUGACCUAUAAUGAUUAUCUUUUAUAAAUUGUGACUUGAAUGGAGAGUUGUCUCAUUGACACUCAUACCACAUCUUCCUAUAUCUAUGUUAUAUACUAAAAACACCAUACUUAAACGGAAAGUCCGUUAUCAAAUGUAAAUCUCUCACUUGUAUGACAGUCACAUAAAACUCUCUAAUACUGACACUGAUGUGUUAACAAAUCAAACAGACAUAAUAAAUAUGAUUGUCAAACAAGUACAGGUGCUAAUUUGUCAUCCAACAAUUCCACAAUGACGGGAUGCAUAUGUACCGAGCCACAUCUAAUGGAUAUUACCAAAAAUUGACUAAGCAGUAAAAGUAAUAUUCAGAAAGAUAAAUAAUAAAUACUAUAAAAUAUUAUUAAGAUGAUAAACAACGUUAGUAUAUAUAUAAUCUAUACUUUACGACCUUCAUGUAUUAUUUGUUUCAGCACUUGGAUGGUGUACACUUCCCCCAAAAGACCGUGUAAUGAUGUUUGGCACAUGUGGCAAUGGUAGAAAGUGUAUAGUGCCAUGGUGUAUGAUGUAAGAGGAAUGGUGGUAUGGUGUAUGAGGAAUGAUGGGAUUGUGUAACGUGUAUAUAAUGUGUGGUUAUCAAUGUUUAAAACUAUGCAAAAUAUUGAUGAGAACUGAUUUUUAAUCUUAUACAUUAAUUUACAAUAUUGUGAUCAAAAUUCGUUUUUUAAAAUAAGUAAAUAAAUUUGUAGAAGCAAGCUUUC
rnacentral:lncRNA from 1 species